rfam:Camelus ferus unplaced genomic scaffold scaffold2842, whole genome shotgun sequence.
GAGGACAUAGCUCAGUGGUAGAGCGUGUGCUUUGCAUGCGUGAGGUCCUGGGUUCAAUCCCCAGUACCUCCA